CCCUCGUUUCAAAAUCAUGAAGUCUUAGGAUUCUUCCAGGUCAAAUGUCCCACUUUCCAUCACCCUACCAGCUUUUCUAUUCUACAUCCUUUCCGAACACUCAAAUCCCCCCUCAACAACCAUUGUAAUUUAUAUUUCAGCCAUUUUAUACAUGCCCAAAAUUUACAAUGUUCGUUAUUUUAGAUCUUUGGAUUAGGAAGAUAUAAGAUAUGAUUUUAGAAACAUGAGGUUGGCCUUGGAAAGUAGAUAGAAAUAGCGGAAGAUAUAAGUAGAAGCAAGUAACUUUCAAGCUUCACUUGUCCUAUGGAGAG
rnacentral:lncRNA from 1 species